GACAAAGAAGUGUGUUACUUUUGGUGUCCAAAGUUCUGCAGCUACUAAAUUCUAUGAUUUCAGCUUGUUCUUCAGACUUACAAAUGAAACUGUAACAAAUAGUUCACUCCUGCCAUUCACUUCCAUGCAAGAGUGAACUGGCAAGGGUUUUAUUUCUAACCACACAAAUGCAAAUUCCCACAUUUAUAAUCCUAAAUAGGAACUGGAGAAUCUUAUCUUGUCUCAAACCCAUCAGUCUGACAGAUCCAAUUUCAAUUCCAAUCCAAUAAAAAGAAUAUAUCAAUUCAUCAAUUCAUUUUCUAAGAGAGGAGACUAACAGAACUUAAUUCCCCAGAAAUCCUCUUUCUUAUUUAUGUAUCUUCAUUUUAAUUUUUUCAUCAAG
rnacentral:misc_RNA from 1 species